GAUAAGAUGCCUGAAUAAAUAGGACUAUUUUGAUAGAAUAGAAUAUGUAUAAUUUAAAUACUCUUAUUA
rnacentral:tRNA from 1 species